GACGAACGCUGGCGGCGUGCUUAACACAUGCAAGUCGAACGGCAAGGCCCUGCUUUCGUGGGGUGCUCGAGUGGCGAUCGGGUGCGUAACACGUGUGUAACCUGCUCUUGACUUUCGGAUAACUUCAGGAAACUGGGGUUAAUAUCGGAUAGGAGCCCCCGCUGCAUGGUGGGGGUUGGAACGUUUCGGCGGUUGGGGAUGGACUCGCGGAUUAACAGCUUGUUGGUGGGGUAGUGGCUUACCAAGGCUUUGACGGGUACCCGGCCUGUGAGGGUGACCGGCCACAUUAGGACUGAGAUACGGCCCAGACUCCUACAGGAGACAACAGUGGGAAAUAUUACACAAUGAGCGGAAGCCUGAUGCAGCAACGCCGCGUGCGGGAUGACGGCCUGCGGGUAGUAAACCGCUUUCGCCUAUGACGAAGCGUGAGUGACGGUAAUGGGUAAAGAAGCACCGGCUAACUACGUG
rnacentral:rRNA from 1 species